rnacentral:rRNA from 1 species
UACAGAGGUCUCAAGCGUUGUUCGGAUUCAUUGGGCGUAAAGGGUGUGUAGGUGGCGCGCUAAGUCGGGUGUGAAAUUUCGGGGCUCAACCCCGAACUUGCAGUGGGUACGGGCAUCACUGGAGUUCGGCAGGGGAGACUGGAAUUCCUGGUGUAGCGGUGAAAUGCGCAGAUAUCAGGAGGAACACCGGUGGCGAAGGCGGGUCUCUGGGCCGAUACUGACGCUGGAGGAGCGAAAGCGUGGGGAGCGAACAGG